rnacentral:rRNA from 1 species
GAUGAACGCUGGCGGCGUGCCUAAUACAUGCAAGUCGAACGCGCAGCGAAAGGUGCUUGCACCUUUCAAGCGAGUGGCGAGCGGGUGAGUAACACGUGGAUAACCUGCCUCAAGGCUGGGGAUAACAUUGGAAACAGAUGCUAAUACCGAAUAAAACUUAGUACCGCAUGAUACAAAGUUAAAAGGCGCUACGGCGUACCAUAGAGAUGGAUCCGCGGUGCAUUAGUUAGUUGGUGGGGUAAAGGCUUACCCAGACGAUGAUGCAUAGCCGAGUUGAGAGACUGAUCGGCCACGUUGGGACUGAGACACGGCCCAAACUCCUACGGGAGGCUGCAGUAGGGAAUCUUCCACAAUGGGCGCAAGCCUGAUGGAGCAACGCCGCGUGUGUGAUGAAGGCUUUCGGGUCGUAAAGCACUGUUGUAUGGGAAGAAAUGCUAAAAUAGGGAAUGAUUUUAGUUUGACGGUACCAUACCAGAAAGGGACGGCUAAAUACGUGCCAGCCGCCGCCGUAA